rnacentral:rRNA from 1 species
CCUACGGGGGGCUGCAGUGAGGAAUAUUGGUCAAUGGACGAGAGUCUGAACCAGCCAAGUAGCGUGAAGGAUGACUGCCCUAUGGGUUGUAAACUUCUUUUAUAUGGGAAUAAAAUGUUCCACGUGUGGGAUUUUGUAUGUACCAUAUGAAUAAGGAUCGGCUAACUCCGUGCCAGCAGCCGCGGUAAUACGGAGGAUCCGAGCGUUAUCCGGAUUUAUUGGGUUUAAAGGGAGCGUAGGUGGAUUGUUAAGUCAGUUGUGAAAGUUUGCGGCUCAACCGUAAAAUUGCAGUUGAAACUGGCAGUCUUGAGUACAGUAGAGGUGGGCGGAAGUCGUGGUGUAGCGGUGAAAUGCUUAGAUAUCACGAAGAACUCCGAUUGCGAAGGCAGUUCACUGGACUGCAACUGACACUGAGGCUCGAAAGUGUGGGUAUCAAACAGGAUUAGAUACCCUAGUAGUC